rnacentral:rRNA from 1 species
UACGUAGGCGGCGCAUUAAGUCAACCGUUAAAUCUUCUGGCCUAACUAGAAGCUUGCGGUAGAUACUGAUGCGCUUGAGGAUGAGAGAGAGAAGUGGAAUUCUCGGAGUAGCGGUAAAAUGCGUGGAUCUCGAGAGGAACACCAAUGGCGAAGGCAGCUUCUUGGCUCAUUCCUGACGCUGAGGUACGAAAGCGGUGGGGAGCAAACA